rnacentral:rRNA from 1 species
UACGAAGGGGGCUAGCGUUGCUCGGAAUCACUGGGCGUAAAGCGCACGUAGGCGGCUUUUUAAGUCAGGGGUGAAAUCCUGGAGCUCAACUCCAGAACUGCCUUUGAUACUGAGAAGCUUGAGUCCGGGAGAGGUGAGUGGAACUGCGAGUGUAGAGGUGAAAUGCGUAGAUAUCGGAAGGAACAUCAGUGGCGAAAGCGGCUUCCUGGACCAGCACCGACGUUCAGGCACGAAAGCGUGGGGAGCAAACAGG